GAUUAUGGCUCAGGAUGAACGCUAGCUACAGGCUUAACACAUGCAAGUCGAGGGGCAGCAUGAACUUAGCUUGCUAAGUUUGAUGGCGACCGGCGCACGGGUGAGUAACACGUAUCCAACCUGCCGAUGACUCGGGGAUAGCCUUUCGAAAGAAAGAUUAAUACCCGAUGGCAUAGUUCUUCCGCAUGGUAGAACUAUUAAAGAAUUUCGGUCAUCGAUGGGGAUGCGUUCCAUUAGGUUG
rnacentral:rRNA from 1 species